rnacentral:snRNA from 1 species
UUGCACAUCUUCACGCUACUAAU